AGAGUUUGAUCAUGGCUCAGGAUGAACGCUAGCUACAGGCUUAACACAUGCAAGUCGAGGGGAAACGACAUCGAAAGCUUGCUUUGAUGGUCGUCGACCGGCGCACGGGUGAGUAACGCGUAUCCAACCUGCCCAUCACUUGGGGAUAACCUUGCGAAAGUAAGACUAAUACCCAAUGAUAUCUCUAGAAGACAUCUGAAAGAGAUUAAAGAUUUAUCGGUGAUGGAUGGGGAUGCGUCUGAUUAGCUUGUUGGCGGGGUAACGGGCCCACCAAGGCAACGAUCAGUAGGGGUUCGUGAGAGGGAAGGUCCCCCACCAUUGGAACUGAGACACGGUCCAAACUCCUACGGGAGGCAGCA
rnacentral:rRNA from 1 species